rnacentral:lncRNA from 1 species
UAAGUUUCAAUCAGAAUGGCAACGCAAGUAACACAGUAAAUCUGCUGUGUUAACGCAUUGGUGGCAUUAUAGCACCUUUGCUUUUCUGAGAAUAAUAUCGUUUUCUGAGGUGCUGUUUGUGAGGUAAUUUCCUUUAUUCACAAUAAAGAGUUAACUUAUUUCAAUGGUACUGUUUCCGAAUUAGGGAAGUGCUCUUUGUAUUGUAGUAAUAGUCACCCCAAUGCCUAAAUUUUCUCACGCACGUUUAUUGUAAAAGAACACUAUUAAACAGCAAAAUUGGGGACUUUAAAGGUUAGAAAUGUCAAUAUUUAAGACUUAAAUUUAAGAUUUAAGAUUUUUUUUUUUUUGACAGUCUUUGUUUACAUAUUGUUUUACCUUCACAUUAUCUGAGGUUGGGCUGAAGAUGCUUAAUGGACAUCUCUGCAUUUCUUCAGUGUUCUGCAGGAAAUCCAAGCUAUUCAGAGGAUGUUUUGAAAGGAAGAGCCACCCAGAAUUACCUGAUGGGCCUGAACGUGGAGCCAUGAGUAUCUUGGUCUGGCUCUUUAUAACCAAACCAGAGGAAAACCACUUAAACAUAAGGCACCGUGGAGACUCGCAGACUGUCUAGAAAUG